UACGUAGGGGGCUAGCGUUGCUCGGAAUUACUGGGCGUAAAGCGCACGUAGGCGGAUUGUUAAGUCGGGGGUGAAAUCCUGGAGCUCAACUCCAGAACUGCCUUCGAUACUGGCGAUCUCGAGUUCGGGAGAGGUGAGUGGAACUGCGAGUGUAGAGGUGAAAUUCGUAGAUAUUCGCAAGAACACCAGUGGCGAAGGCGGCUCACUGGCCCGAUACUGACGCUGAGGUGCGAAAGCGUGGGGAGCAAACAGG
rnacentral:rRNA from 1 species